AUUGAACGCUGGCGGCGUGCCUAACACAUGCAAGUCGAGCGGUAACAGGUGUAGCAAUACAUGCUGACGAGCGGCGGACGGGUGAGUAACGCUUGGGAAUCUGCCUGUUAGUGGGGGACAACCCGGGGAAACUCGGGCUAAUACCGCAUACGCACUACGGUGGAAAGCCGGGGACCGCAAGGCCUGGCGCUAACAGAUGAGCCCAAGUCGGAUUAGCUAGUUGGUAGGGUAACGGCCUACCAAGGCGACGAUCCGUAACUGGUCUGAGAGGACGACCAGUCACACCGGAACUGAGACACGGUCCGGACUCCUACGGGUGGCUG
rnacentral:rRNA from 1 species